rnacentral:rRNA from 1 species
UACAGAGGUCUCAAGCGUUGUUCGGAUUCAUUGGGCGUAAAGGGUGCGUAGGCGGCGCGGUAAGUCGGGUGUGAAAUCUCGGAGCUUAACUCCGAAACUGCAUUCGAUACUGCCGUGCUUGAGGACUGGAGAGGAGACUGGAAUUUACGGUGUAGCAGUGAAAUGCGUAGAGAUCGUAAGGAAGACCAGUGGCGAAGGUGAGUCCCUGGACAACUCCUGACACUGAGGCACGAAAGCUAGGGGAGCAAACAGG